GGAUAGCUUGGUUGUUAGAGAGCAUGAGACUCUUAAUCUCAGCGUCGUGGGUUUGAGCCCCAGGUUGGGCG